rnacentral:rRNA from 1 species
UAGGGAAUCUUCCGCAAUGGGCGAAAGCCUGACGGAGCAACGCCGCGUGAGUGAUGAAGGUCUUCGGAUCGUAAAACUCUGUUAUUAGGGAAGAACAAAUGUGUAAGUAACUAUGCACGUCUUGACGGUACCUAAUCAGAAAGCCACGGCUAACUACGUGCCAGCAGCCGCGGUAAUACGUAGGUGGCAAGCGUUAUCCGGAAUUAUUGGGCGUAAAGCGCGCGUAGGCGGUUUUUUAAGUCUGAUGUGAAAGCCCACGGCUCAACCGGGGAGGGUCGUUGGAAACUGGAAAACUUGAGGGCAGAAGAGGAAAGUGGAAUUCCAUGUGUAGCGGUGAAAUGCGCAGAGAUAUGGAGGAACACCAGUGGCGAAGGCGACUUUCUGGUCUGUAACUGACGCUGAUGUGCGAAAGCGUGGGAAUCAAACAGG